ACCGGGCUAGCUCAAUAUUCGGCAGAGCAUUUGACUCCUAAUCUUAAGGUUGUGGGUUCGACUCCCGCGUCCGGUA